rnacentral:rRNA from 1 species
GAUGAACGCUGGCGGCGUGCCUAAUACAUGCAAGUCGAGCGAACAGAUAAGGAGCUUGCUCCUUUGACGUUAGCGGCGGACGGGUGAGUAACACGUGGGUAACCUACCUAUAAGACUGGAAUAACUCCGGGAAACCGGGGCUAAUGCCGGAUAACAUCUAGAACCGCAUGGUUCUAAAGUGAAAGAUGGUUUUGCUAUCACUUAUAGAUGGACCCGCGCCGUAUUAGCUAGUUGGUAAGGUAACGGCUUACCAAGGCAACGAUACGUAGCCGACCUGAGAGGCUGAUCGGCCACACGGGAACUGAGACACGGUCCAGAGUCCUACGGGAGGCAGCAGUAGGGAAUCUUCCGCAAUGGGCGAAAGCCUGACGGAGCAACGCCGCGUGAGUGAUGAAGGUCUUCGGAUCGUAAAACUCUGUUAUGAGGGAAGAACAAAUGUGUAAGUAACUGUGCACGUCUUGACGGUACCUAAUCAGAAAGCCACGGCUAACUACGUG